rnacentral:rRNA from 1 species
AUUGAACGCUGGCGGCAUGCCUUACACAUGCAAGUCGAACGGUAACAGGUCUUCGGAUGCUGACGAGUGGCGAACGGGUGAGUAAUACAUCGGAACGUGCCCGAUCGUGGGGGAUAACGGAGCGAAAGCUUUGCUAAUACCGCAUACGAUCUACGGAUGAAAGCAGGGGACCGCAAGGCCUUGCGCGAACGGGGCGGCCGAUGGCAGAUUAGGUAGUUGGUGGGAUAAAAGCUUACCAAGCCGACGAUCUGUAGCUGGUCUGAGAGGACGACCAGCCACACUGGGGCUGAGACACGGCACAGACUCCUGCGGGAGGCAGCAGUGGGGAAUUUUGGACAAUGGGCGCAAGCCUGACCCAGCAAUGCCGCGUGCAGGAUGAAGGCCUUCGGGUUGUAAACUGCUUUUGUACGGAACGAAAAGGCUCUGGUUAAUACCUGGGGCUCAUGACGGUACCGUAAGAAUAAGCACCGGCUAACUACGUGCCAGCCGCCGCCGUAACAC